rnacentral:rRNA from 3 species
AAAUUGAAGAGUUUGAUCAUGGCUCAGAUUGAACGCUGGCGGCAGGCCUAACACAUGCAAGUCGAGCGGUAGCACAGAGAGCUUGCUCUUGGGUGACGAGCGGCGGACGGGUGAGUAAUGUCUGGGAAACUGCCUGAUGGAGGGGGAUAACUACUGGAAACGGUAGCUAAUACCGCAUAA